rnacentral:lncRNA from 1 species
GUGGGCAUGGGGUGUCUGGACGUCAGAUUGACCCUCCCCUCCAGGCUUCUCUGGUUCCCACAACUUACUGCUCAGACUACAUCCCCAUCCAUGCUACAUCAUUUUCCUGUGGCUGGAAUGGGCCACUGAAGUGUAGUAACCCUUGUUGCUUGUCUGGCUGAAGAAAUGGCUGUACAGACUCACUAUCUAUCUAUAUCUGUAUCAUCUAUAUCUAUCUAUACACACAGAUAUAUAAAUAUUCUGUAAAGGUCACAUUAGCUGUUCCAUCUUGUUUUUGCUUCUGAUUGUACUCAUCACUGUUAUGUGAUUUCCUGGAAGAUUGCCUAUCAUGGAAUGUGAUCCAAACCUCCACCUGAAAGAUCCUCACCAGGUCCAAGCUGUGUCCCCAAAUGAUGUCUAUUUUAUUAUGUCUAUUGAAUCAAUAAGUUUUUAUCUUUUUGUUUUUGUGAUUUGUUCUGAGAUCUUUGGAUAAAGGAUGGAAGGUCAACAAUAAGCCUCCUUUACAACAACUUUGUAGUAUCAUCUCCUUGCUAAGAGAUCAUGACUCGCUUAAAACAGUGUCUUCAGGACACAGGUGAGAUCUAGGGUGGACUUGUCCUGUUGCAUUACUGGUGUGCAUACACAGCAAAGUGGGAUUCACAGUAUGUGUAAGACCUAGAAGUAACUGAAUGGGGACUUGCUUUUCAAGAAAGCUUCACAGGACUGUGUUGUUUCCCAUCUGAAAUUUCUUUGGAAUUAUUUGUGUCCUACCCUUCCAUCCCCAUUUUUAAGUUUCACUAUGAUAAAGAGAAACUGCAGGAGAUAGAAUAAGAAACAAAAUGUUACAUAGAUGACUUUCAGAUGAGAUAUUUUAACUGUAAAAUAAAUCAUUUCCACACUUAUGUAUUUAUAGCUAUGCCUCACCUGUCGUCCAAAGUGUCUAAACUGACAGUAACUUCUCCUGCCCUACUCCUUGGAGAUCAGAAGAACCUUCAUGAAACAUUUCUCUUUUCCGUCCUUUCUCUCUCCCCUCCACCCCAUCUUUGCUUUCUUCCCUUGUAUGACUAAAACUGUAGACUUAGCGCACUCGCCUGGAAUAAAACCCACUGAAUUUCCUGCCA